rnacentral:rRNA from 1 species
UGAGUACGAGAUGCUACGGCAUCGAAGCAGUCUAUGUCAUACUUCCAAGAAAAGCUUGCACUGUCAUAAACAAAGAAUGCCUGUACCAUAACCGACACAGGUGGGUAGGUAGAGUAUACUAAGGGGCGCGAGAUAACUCUCUCUAAGGAACUCGGCAAAAUGACUCCGUAACUUCGGGAGAAGGAGUGCCUUAUUUCUAAGGUUGCAAUAACAAGAUCCAAGCAACUGUUUACCAAAAACACAGGUCUCCGCUAAGUCGUAAGACGAUGUAUGGGGGCUGACGCCUGCCCAGUGCCAGAAGGUUAAAGAAGUUGGUUAGCAUUAGCGAAGCUGAUAACUGAAGCCCUGGUGAACGGCGGCCGUAACAAUAACGGUCCUAAGGUAGCGAAAUUCCUUGUCGGGUAAGUUCCGACCCGCACGAAAGGCGUAAUGAUUUGGAUACUGUCUCGGAGAGGGGCUCGGUGAAAUAGACUUGUCUGUGAAGAUGCGGACUACCUGCACCUGGACAGAAAGACCCUAUGAAGCUUUACUGUAACUUGAGAUUGAAAUUGGACUUUAUUUGCGCAGUAUAGGUGGGAGGCGUUGAGAAUAAUCUUGCGGGAUUGUUGGAGCCAUCAGUGAGAUACCACUCUUGUAAUGUUAGAUUUCUAACUUUGUAUCAUUAUCUGGUCAAAGAACAGUUUCAGGCGGGCAGUUUGACUGGGGCGGUCGCCUCCCAAAGGGUAACGGAGGCGCACAAAGUUUCCUCUGAACGGGUAGAAAUCGUAUCUAGAGUGUAAAGGCAUAAGGAAGCUUGACUGUGAGACCUACAAGUCGAGCAGGGACGAAGGUCGGUCUUAGUGAUCUGACGGUGCUGAGUGGAAAGGCCGUCACUCAACGGAUAAAAGUUACUCUAAGGAUAACAGGCUGAUCUCCCCCAAGAGUUCACAUCGACGGGGAGGUUUGGCACCUCGAUGUCGGCUCAUCGCAUCCUGGGGCGGUAGUCCGUCCCAAGGGUUGGGCUGUUCGCCCAUGAAAGCGGUACGCGAGCUGGGUUCAGAACGUCGUGAGACAGUUCGGUCCAUAUCCGGUGUAGGCGUUAGAAUAUUGAGAGGAGCCUUCUCUAGUACGAGAGGACCGAGAAGGACAUACCUCUGGUGUACCAGUUAUCGUGCCAACGGUAAACGCUGGGUAGCUAUGUAUGGAGUGGAUAACCGCUGAAAGCAUCUAAGUGGGAAGCCCACCUCAAGAUAAGUAUUCU